rnacentral:siRNA from 1 species
AGCUCAAAGUGGGCUGAAGUGAG